ACUCGUGUCUUCUCCUGCGCGAGAGACUCGAGGACUCCCCUCCCCCCCCUCUCCAAACCCUCGCCUCGGCUCCCCCGCAGCCGCGCACGCCACCGCCGUCGCCUCUCCUCUCCACCGCCUCCCCACCCACCCGCUAGGUUUCCGCCGCUGCCCGGGGUUCUCGCCGCCGCGCCGCCCUCCCCCACGCUCGCUCUCCGGGUGGGGGUGGUGCCGCCCCUCUCCUCCUCCGUUUCCAGGCGGGUGCCGGCCUGGGGGGUCUCUCGCCCUCGUCUCCUCUCCCCCUGGUCGUCGGCACCGGCGGCUGGGAACUCGCCGACGCGUCGUUUCCCCGCGAGGCCGCCGCCUAGAUCUGGAGGAGGGGGUUUGGGGGUGAAAUACUGUUUGUUAGACAACAAGAUUGAGAUUCUCAAACCUGUUGGCUGGUGCUAUAUCAUUUGCAUUUGGUUGAACUCGAAACCAAAAGGUACUGUGAAUUGCAAACACUUGUUAUUCUCUUAA
rnacentral:lncRNA from 1 species